rnacentral:lncRNA from 13 species
CAUCAACAUGAAAAGGUCUGAUGUCAUAACUCAUUAGAGAUGCCGUUGACAUGACAACACAAAACAGUAUUAUAAGAUGAAUUAUAAAACCAGUUAAAUUAUGUCAGGGGGGGGGGUUAUGUUAGGAGGAGGGUAAAAAGAGGUCAAACAAGAAUGUAAACUGGACUCUUAGGGGUGUAGUUGGAGUGGAGGGAGGAUUUUGGGGUCUGGAAUUAGAAGUUGCCCCCUAACCACAGAUCUAGGAUCAGACUACUCUACACAGUACACUACUUUUAACCAGAGCUUAUGGCAUUCUGUGCACUACUUAGGAAAUAAUCUGCCAUUUGGAACACGCCCAUAUCCGUCCUUAGAACUGUGGUCACAAACAUCUUCUACCUCCUCUGCUGUCAUUUGGGAGAGGAGAUGUUGCAGGUAGCCUGAGUGCCAGUCUGUCUGUGCCAUCAUGCCUACGGUUUGUGUCGGCAACAAACAGACCUGCUACCAGGCUAUUGUAGGUGGUCUCAACUCCCCUUGGUCGCCGUGGGUUACUUCCGUUUGCUCUUGUUGUCGGUGGUUUGGAACACGCUGGAGGCCGACAUGAGGUUCUCGAUGUACUGGCCUAGAACCUGGUUCUCCGACUUCAACUUCAGGUUCUCCUCUUUGACCGCAUCCACACGUGCUGACAGGUCUGGAACAACAGAGGUGCGGAACUUAGAACUAGACAGACCAGUGUUUCCCCUAGAUCAUUGUUUUUAAGGCUGGGUGCAACAGAGUUUGACAGGGAGGCCUAAGUAAUGAUGGAUGAAACGCCGAUACAGAAACCUCCUGAUAGCUUAUUCCACAUCAAUGCCAAAUACUCCUCCCUGCCAGACUAGACUGAAUGUUUUAGCUUAUUCCACAUCAAUGCCAAAUACUCCUCCCUGCCAGACUAGACUGAAUGUUUUAGCUUAUUCCACAUCAAUGCCAAAUACUCCUCCCUGCCAGACUAGACUGAAUGUUUUAGCUUAUUCCACAUCAAUGCCAAAUACUCCUCCCUGCCAGACUAGACUGAAUGUUUUAGCUUAUUCCACAUCAAUGCCAAAUACUCCUCCCUG